GGUGUUUGGUUCAAACACAAGAGGAAACAUGAAUAUAUUUAAGAUUUGUGUCUUGUUGGAUAAAUACAGUAUAUUUUCUAGAUAAGUCAUCAGUUUAUAUAGCCAUUUCACAUUCCAAAUGGUUUCCAUAACAAUCUUCUCAGAGUAACAUGAAUGGAGCCUCAGAUCUUCUCUUCUGAGUAGGGAGAAAGAGACUUACUCUUGAGUAGACGUAGUUGGUAGUGGCACAGCCCCUGUCCAUCAUAGUUCAAGUCAUCCAAACUUCUUUGCUCCCCAAAAGCUGACUGUUUGGGGACACUGUGGCCACCACCCAAGGAUGAGUCAUAACUGGCUUCAAUCUGUGUCAUCACAGAUUGUCCUUCACCCUUAAAUAUUGUAGGGAUGGGUGUAAGAACCAUUGAUGACUAAUGUUAUUUGAGAAAAUUUCUAAGAAAUAGUUUUUUUUCCCCUGAUUGAAGAAGCAGAAGAAGCUGAGCCUCUUGCCUUCUUAAAGCUGGAAGAGCAUCUUGCCAGUGGGAAACAACAUCGCCGAUAGAGAGAGGAGACAAUAACCGGGAAAGGCAGACAGGAACCUAGAGGCUCGGUUUCUUCUUACCUGAGCUACCAAACUAGGCCUGCACUUCUUGUUAAAUUACCAAUAAAGUAUCCCAUAAUUGACACAACUCAUUUGGCUAUUCUGUUAUUUUCCAUCUCAGAGUAUACGUCAAAUGAAAGGAUGAACAUGAGAAACUGAAGGCCAGAGACAGAUUAGUUGCAAUGUGAGAAAAGAACAAAAAUUAGGUACCAUUAUGGAAUCCAAGUUAGAAGACUUUCAAACCUGAAACAAAUUGCACUGAACAUCAAAGACAAAGAAGACAGAGAAAAUGGUACUUGGACAGUGACAAAGAGACUUGCAUACUGGAAACUGGGAGAGAAACAUUUUUGUAGAGCAAUUAGGUGAGUGCCAGACCACAUGGAAUUGUGUGGGAAAUGGAUGGAAUGAAUAUGGAAACAUCAGGUCCAAGUGAUUGCGGUGCAUUAACUGUGUACAGAAGUGGGCAGAUGGAUAGCCAGGCGUGUUUCCACCAGAAGCUUCGAAGACUUCAGGGAUAUCUUAUCAAAGCAGGACAAAUAAGUUCAAAUGAAACCUUAUGAAAACAAGAUAACCCACUUCAAGUGUCUAUUCCACAUCUCAGCUUGGCACAAAUCAAAAUUGCUUAGUUAACCUGCCUCUUGAAAAACAGAGCCUGUAAUGAAAAAACUGUCAGAAAUUUAACAACAGCAGCUCUGCCAGGAGCGUGGAUAGUGGGAAGGUUGCUGAGUUACAGAGGAAUACAAGGUAAACUCUGGUGAAUAAUGACCAGAAAUGAUGGGACUAUUUCAUUUUGUCUGAUGACUUAUAUCUAACAACUCCUGAUAGUUCACUUAACAUUUUUGGAGGAAAAAGUUUAUACUUAGUACUGAUAUCAAUCAAAAUUGUGUCUUUAGGGCAGCUGAGAACCAACCUGGUUUCUUAAUCGCUGGGAGGAAAACUACUCCUGAAGGACCACAGCUUCUUCUCUCAGAAGUAUUACUCUAAGACUCUGAAGCCAGUGCUCUUUUACUUGAGAGAAGGAAAUCUUGUGAUCUGCUUAAUCUUAGUCAUGACAAGAUUUAGCCAAAAGAACGGAAAGGAUUCUAUUUAAUUAUGUUGAGUUUUCAUAAAUGCUGGUGAAACUUAUACAAUGAGAGAAUUUCACACACUCAUAAGGCACUAUUCACAUUUAUCUGAAAUACUACUAACAAUUGCGAGAACGGUAUUAAACAGAAAAUAUAUUGAAAUACUAUAGCAAUUUAAAACAUUGUGUUCAAUUUUUCUUAUUUAUUACCAAUCUGUGAGUCUACCCUCCA
ensembl:lincRNA